rnacentral:rRNA from 1 species
GUGAGUAGUUCAGAGUUUGAUCCUGGCUCAGGACGAACGCUGGCGGCGUGCCUAACACAUGCAAGUCGAACGAAGAUUUGAGAGCUUGCUUUUGAAUCUUAGUGGCGGACGGGUGAGUAACGCGUGAGAAACCUGCCUUUCAAAGGGGGAUAACGUUUGGAAACGAACGCUAAUACCGCAUGAUGCAGCGAGAUCGCAUGGUCUUGCUGCCAAAGGAGCAAUCCGCUGAAAGAUGGUCUCGCGUCCGAUUAGCUAGUUGGUGAGAUAACAGCCCACCAAGGCGACGAUCGGUAGCCGGACUGAGAGGUCGAACGGCCACAUUGGGACUGAGACACGGCCCAG